CUACGUGCCAGCAGCCGCGGUAAUACGUAGGGCGCGAGCGUUGUCCGGAAUUAUUGGGCGUAAAGAGCUUGUAGGCGGUUUGUCGCGUCUGCUGUGAAAGGCCGGAGCUUAACUCCGUGUAUUGCAGUGGGUACGGGCAGACUAGAGUGCAGUAGGGGAGACUGGAAUUCCUGGUGUAGCGGUGGAAUGCGCAGAUAUCAGGAGGAACACCGAUGGCGAAGGCAGGUCUCUGGGCUGUAACUGACGCUGAGGAGCGAAAGCAUGGGGAGCGAACAGGAUUAGAUACCCUGGUAGUCCAUGCCGUAAACGUUGGGCACUAGGUGUGGGGGACAUUCCACGUUUUCCGCGCCGUAGCUAACGCAUUAAGUGCCCCGCCUGGGGAGUACGGCCGCAAGGCUAAAACUCAAAGAAAUUGACGGGGGCCCGCACAAGCGGCGGAGCAUGCGGAUUAAUUCGAUGAUACGCGAGGAACCUUACCCGGGCUUGAAUUGCAGAGGAAUUAUUUAGAGAUA
rnacentral:rRNA from 1 species